AUCCUAGCUGUAAACGAUGCUGACUAGGUGUGGGAGGUAUCGACCCCUCCCGUGCCGCCGCUAACGCAUUAAGUCAGCCGCCUGGGGAGUACGGCCGCAAGGUUAAAAACUCAAAGGAAUUGACGGGGCCCGCACAAGCGGUGGAGCAUGUGGUUUAAUUCGACGCUACGCGAAGAACCUUACCUGGGCUCGAACGACUGGUAGUAGUCCCGAUGAAAGUUGGGGCGACCCGCAAGGGAGCCAGCCGAGGUGCUGCAUGGCUGUCGU
rnacentral:rRNA from 1 species